UUUAUUUUUUUUGUUCUUCUUCAUUUUUCAUUCUCCUAAACUAACCCAUCACCUUACCCACUGUCUAGACCCACCUUCUCCACUCUUCAUUUUUCUUCAAGUCUCCCGUUAUCCCUGCACGCCCCUUGUUUUCCCUCAUAAAAUUUCUCCCUAAAAAUUAAGCAAAUUCCAAUAAUAAAGCUUUAAUUAUUUAUGAAUUUUUGAAGGUGGAGAGAGACGUUGGGUUUGAAGAGUGGUACUUAUGAAAAGGUAAAUCUAUGAAAUUAAAGGAAUUUAGCAGAAAGGACAAAUAUUUCGACAGUCAAUAUGGACCUUUUCUUGUUGAAAGAAGAUUUAAAUUAUUAUUUCGGGAUUUUUUCUAUGAUGGAAGAAAGAUGAUUCUAAUGGAGGUGAGGAAUUGGGGGAUGAUGUUGCAUUGGUAGUAGAAACUUUCACGUGGUUAAUUUUUGGUUGAAGAAUGGUGGUCGGAGAUGGAAGGAAGGCAGCCAUGGUGGUCGGAGCCAUGGUGCUGGAUUUGAUGAAAAGAUAGGGGUCUAAUUGUAAAAUUAAGUGUUUUCUUUAAUUUUUUUUAGUUAAUGACAAGUGUAACUAUUUCGUUGGUGCGUGCUAUUACAUAUAUUUUGGAAAACUAGGCAAGAAAAAAAAUGUAUUUUAGCUACAUACUAAAAAGGUCGAGUAUGUAAAAUGAUUUUCGUGGUGAGAAAGAGUAUAACAGAGAUUUGGUCCACAAUUUAGCGAGUAACUUAUGUUUUUUGCCUAUUUUUUGUAUAUAAUUUAACUGGGUUUUCCAAAUUUUAAAUAA
rnacentral:lncRNA from 1 species